AGUGAACGCUGGCGGUAGGCCUAACACAUGCAAGUCGAACGGCAGCACAGAGGAGAUUGCUCCGUGGGUGGGGAGAGGCGGACGGGUGAGGAAUACAUCGGAAUCUACUCUGUCGUGGGGGAUAACGUAGGGAAACUUACGCUAAUACCGCAUACGAUAUACGGGGGAAAGAAGGGGAUCUUCGGACCUUGCGCGAUUGAAUGAGCCGAUGACUGAGUAGCUAGUUGGCGGGGUAAAGGCCCACCAAGGCGACGGUCCGUAGCUGGGCUGGGGGGAUGUUCCACCACACGGGAACUGAGACACAGUCCAGACGCCUACGGGAGGGAGCAGUGUUGAAUAUUGGACAAUGGGCGCAAGCCUGAUCCAGCCCUACCGCGUGGGUGAAGAAGGCCCUCGGGUUGUGAAGCCCGUUUGUUGGUAGGGAAAUCCAUCUAGUUAGUACCCGGCUGGGAUGACGGUACCCAAAGAAUAAGCACCGGCUAACUUCGUGCCAGCCGCCGCCGUAA
rnacentral:rRNA from 1 species